AGUGAACGCUGGCGGUAGGCCUAACACAUGCAAGUCGAACGGCAGCACAGUAAGAGCUUGCUCUUACGGGUGGCGAGUGGCGGACGGGUGAGGAAUACAUCGGAAUCUACUUUUUCGUGGGGGAUAACGUAGGGAAACUUACUCUAAUACCGCAUACGACCUACGGGUGAAAGCAGGGGAUCUUCGGACCUUGCGCGAUUGAAUGAGCCGCUGUCGGGUUAGCUAGUUGGCGGGGUAAAGGCCCACCAAGUCGAGGAUACGUAGCUGGUCUGAGAGGAUGGUCAGCCACCCUGGAACUGAAACACGGUCCAGACUCCUACGGGAGGGAGCAGUGGGGAAUAUUGGACAAUGGGCGCAAGCCUGAUCCAGCCAUACCGCGUGGGUGAAGAAGGCCUUCGGGUUGUAAAGCCCUUUUGUUGGGAAAGAAAAGCAGCAGGUUAAUACCCCGCUGUUCUGACGGUACCCAAAGAAUAAGCACCGGCUAACUUCGUG
rnacentral:rRNA from 1 species